rnacentral:rRNA from 1 species
UACGGAGGAUCCAAGCGUUAUCCGGAAUCAUUGGGUUUAAAGGGUCCGUAGGCGGUUUUGUAAGUCAGUGGUGAAAGCCCAUCGCUCAACGGUGGAACGGCCAUUGAUACUGCAAGACUUGAAUUAUUGGGAAGUAACUAGAAUAUGUAGUGUAGCGGUGAAAUGCUUAGAGAUUACAUGGAAUACCAAUUGCGAAGGCAGGUUACUACCAAUAUAUUGACGCUGAUUGGGACGAAAAGCGUGGGGAGC